CCUACGGGUGGCAGCAGUGAGGAAUAUUGGUCAAUGGCCGUACGCCUGAACCAGCCAAGCCGCGUGAAGGACGACUGUCCCAAGCGUUGUAAACUUCUUUUGUCAAGGGACAACAUCAGCCUCGAGUGCCUGACCUGGGGUACCUGAAGAAAAAGCCACGGCUAAAUCCGUGGCAGCCGCCGCGGUAAAACGGAGGAUGCGAGCGUUAUCCCGAUUUAUUGGGUUUAAAGGGUGCGUAGGCGGGCUGUUAAGUCAGCGGUAAAAGCCCGGGGCUCAACCCCGGCGAGCCGUUGAAACUGGCUGUCUUGAGAUGGCGAGAGGUAUGCGGAAUGCGCAGUGUAGCGGUGAAAUGCAUAGAUAUCACGCAGAACCCCGAUUGCGAAGGCAGCAUUCCGGCGCCCUACUGACGCUGAGGCACGAAAGUGCGGGGAUCGAACAGGAUUAGAUACCCCAGUAGUC
rnacentral:rRNA from 1 species